GAUGAACGCUAGCUACAGGCUUAACACAUGCAAGUCGAGGGGAAACGACAUCGGAAGCUUGCUUUUGAUGGGCGUCGACCGGCGCACGGGUGAGUAACGCGUAUCCAACCUGCCCACCACUUGGGGAUAACCUUGCGAAAGUAAGACUAAUACCCGAUGAUAUCUCUAGACGACAUCUGAAAAGGGGAUUAAAGAUUUAUCGGUGAUGGAUGGGGAUGCGUCUGAUUAGCUUGUUGGCGGGGUAACGGCCCACCAAGGCAACGAUCAGUAGGGGGUUCUGAGAGGAAGGUCCCCCACAUUGGAACUGAGACACGGUCCAAACUCCUACGGGAGGCAGCAGUGAGGAAUAUUGGUCAAUGGGCGAGAGCCUGAACCAGCCAAGUAGCGUGCAGGACGACGGCCCUAUGGGUUGUAAACUGCUUUUAUAAGGGAAUAAAGUGAGUCUCGUGAGACUUUUUGCAUGUACCUUAUGAAUAAGGACCGGCUAAUUCCGUG
rnacentral:rRNA from 1 species